GCGGAGUGGAAAAUGGCGGCCUCCUUGCCGCUUGGGUUACCAGAGUCCUCCCGACCUCGUGCUUUCUCCGGGCGCCCGUAGCUGGUGCCGGCAUCCACAAAAAUAGAUCAGACCCCGAGAGCCUACUGACCACAGCAGCUCCUGUUACCACAGCUGCCAUUUCUGCUCUCAAUGCUACUGCUCAUUGAUCCCAGGGAGGAAAAUUCUGGUGCAUCACUUAGUACUUAUUUCAGAUUUCAACCAAAACAACAUAUUGCAAGAUUGAAUGCAGAAGUAGAUGUGAGAACUCAUUUGUGUUCUAUUAAGCCAAGCGUAAAUGUUUAAAAAUGUAAAAUAAUACCACUCUUCUGAUAAUUUUUGGGAGAAAAUAUAUUUAUGGAAAAUAUACCUAUCAAAGAAAUAUCAGAAACCUUCCAAACUGAAGGACACGUGUAUCCAGAUUAAAAUGACCUUCCGAAUGCUUAACAUAGUAAACAAAAAACAGGAGGAAAAGGAGGGGAGAAAAGGAAAAAAGAAGACUCACGCAAGGCUGUAUUAUGACUUUUCAUCAUACCAUAGAUAAAUUAGAUCCUGAAAGAUUUCAGAAAGGAAUAUGAGAUCACACAUAAAAGAACAGGAAUCAAAAUGACAUUACCCUUUUCAACAACACUGGCAGCUCAAGGGAGUGCAGCAAUGCCUUCAUCCUAAGAGAAAAUGAUUGUCAAUACAAAAUAAUAUUCACAGCUAAAUUAUCAAUCGUGAGGGUAGAAGAAAGGCAUUUUUAGCCAUUGUAUGAGAGUGUUAUAAUAAUGGUCCCAGUGAACCACACCUCCC
rnacentral:antisense_RNA from 1 species